rnacentral:rRNA from 1 species
GGGGGCAUCCACUGAGGGCCUUUGGGUCCACCUCCCACCCGUGUUUAUUUUACCUUGUUGCUUCGGCGGGCCCGCCUUUACUGGCCGCCGGGGGGCUCACGCCCCCGGGCCCGCGCCCGCCGAAGACACCCCCGAACUCUGUCUGAAGAUUGAAGUCUGAGUGAAAAUAUAAAUUAUUUAAAACUUUCAACAACGGAUCUCUUGGUUCCGGCAUCGAUGAAGAACGCAGCGAAAUGCGAUACGUAAUGUGAAUUGCAAAUUCAGUGAAUCAUCGAGUCUUUGAACGCACAUUGCGCCCCCUGGUAUUCCGGGGGGCAUGCCUGUCCGAGCGUCAUUGCUGCCCUCAAGCCCGGCUUGUGUGUUGGGCCCCGUCCUCCGAUUCCGGGGGACGGGCCCGAAAGGCAGCGGCGGCACCGCGUCCGGUCCUCGAGCGUAUGGGGCUUUGUCACCCGCUCUGUAGGCCCGGCCGGCGCUUGCCGAUCAACCCAAAUUUUUAUCCAGGUUGACCUCGGAUCAGGUAGGGAUACCCGCUGAACUUAAGCAUAUCAAUAA